rnacentral:rRNA from 1 species
CCAGCGAUUCGGUCGGGGACUCUAGAGAUACUGCCCCGGUUAACGGGAGGAAGGUGGGGAUGACGUCAAGUCCUCAUGGCCCUUAUGCCCAGGGCUACACACGUGCUACAAUGGGCGGUACAAAGGGUAGCGAUGCCGCGAGGUGAAGCCAAUCCCAAAAAGCCGUCCACAGUUCGGAUUGGAGUCUGCAACUCGACUCCAUGAAGCCGGAAUCGCUAGUAAUCGUGGAUCAGCAUGCCACGGUGAAUACGUUCCCGGGCCUU